rnacentral:rRNA from 1 species
CCUACGGGAGGCAGCAGUGGGGAAUUUUGGACAAUGGGCGCAAGCCUGAUCCAGCAAUGCCGCGUGAGUGAAGAAGGCCUUCGGGUUGUAAAGCUCUUUUGUCAGGGAAGAAACGGCUGAGGAUAAUACCUUUGGCUAAUGACGGUACCUGAAGAAUAAGCACCGGCUAACUACGUGCCAGCAGCCGCGGUAAUACGUAGGGUGCAAGCGUUAAUCGGAAUUACUGGGCGUAAAGCGUGCGCAGGCGGUUUUGUAAGUCUGUCGUGAAAUCCCCGGGCUCAACCUGGGAAUUGCGAUGGAGACUGCAAGGCUGGAGUCUGGCAGAGGGGGGGUAGAAUUCCACGUGUAGCAGUGAAAUGCGUAGAGAUGUGGAGGAACACCGAUGGCGAAGGCAGCCCCCUGGGUCAAGACUGACGCUCAUGCACGAAAGCGUGGGGAGCAAACAGGAUUAGAUACCCUGGUAGUCCACGCCCUAAACGAUGUCUACUAGUUGUCGGGUCUUAAUUGACUUGGUAACGCAGCUAACGCGUGAAGUAGACCGCCUGGGGAAGUCGGUGCAGAUUAAACGUUNAAGGAUUGACGG